CCUACGGGUGGCUGCAGUGGGGGAUAUUGGACAAUGGAGGAAACUCUGACCCAGCGAUGCCGCGUGGAUGAAGAAGGGCUUCGGAUUGUAAAGUUCUGUAAGCAGGGAAGAAUAAAAUGACGGUAGCUGAAGAAUAAGCUCCGGCUAACUACGUGCCAGCAGCCGCGGUAAUACGUAGGGAGCAAGCGUUGUUCGGGAUGACUGGGCGUAAAGGGUGCGUAGGCGGUUAUACAAGUUAGAAGUGAAAUACCCAGGGCUUAACUCGGGUGCUGCUUCUAAAACUGUAAGACUUGAGUGCAGGAGAGGUUAGUGGAAUUCCUAGUGUAGCGGUGGAAUGCGUAGAUAUUAGGAGGAACACCAGAGGCGAAGGCGGCUAACUGGACUGCAACUGACGCUGAGGCACGAAAGUGUGGGGAGCAAACAGGAUUAGAUACUCGAGUAGUC
rnacentral:rRNA from 1 species